CAGCGAAGCAGGUCAAGUCUACAGAGCUGCACUUCAUUUUUCCUAAGAACUCUACACUUUCUUGUAUGUAUUUCAGAAACAUUCACUGAUGAAUUUUUAACAUACUAAUUACUGUUGAGUCUCUGCUGAAUCCUUUGCAUUAAUGUUGGUUAUCUCACACUUCAACCUCUGUUUUAGUCUGCAGUAAUCUUUAACAGCCUUAUAGUUAAAAAGAAAUGGUACUGUGUAAGGAAUAAAAACCAUUUUUAUUCUCCCUAAUAUACACAUUUAUAUUCCAGGCUUACUCUUGCCGCAAGUGGAGUGGAUCGCGAUCUGGCUCGUUGUUCCUUUUUCCUAUGCAUAUACUUCUUUGAGAAUUGCUUCUAAAGAGGUAUAGGGCAUGGGAAAAUGGGGCAACUGAGAUACUUCAUUACUCAUCUCAAGAAGCAUUGCAAAAGCAACAGUAGAAAUGUUUAGAGAAAACAGAUGUGUGAAGAAAUGAAAGGUAAAUUUAUGAAACUCCCAAUUAACCCUCAAAACCUGCACUAAAAGAUACCGGCACUAUUUACUCUGAUCUAACAGCUAAAUGUUGGUUUCCUCUUAAAACCCCAUUUAUUAAAAGAGCAAUAUUUUAAGCAUUUCUCCAACUACAUUAUUAAACAUAUCUCCCUUGGUCUAAUGUAAAACACAUGCAUCGCUAAUAAGCUGCUUCUAUAGUCCUUAUUCCCAUAAGCCUCCAACUGAAAAUAACAGGAAUGCAGUCACACACACUGCCAAAAAUGCCACUCUUUCUCCCUGUCUCACAGGUGCUGGGAAUCAGCUGUCACUGAAUCCAGGUAAUGCUGGCUCACGUGUGUAAAGCCCAGUCAUGCAAAUGCCACCUAAGUGGGUUGUCUGUAAUACAUCACUUAUUCUUAGGAUUUUAUCCUUUAAGAUCCUAGGUACCUUUUACAUGAUGCCUGCAUGUGUAGAAUUGCAAAGUCUUCUCUUAUAAAACCCAGUUAAUAGUAAAUCAAAUUAAAAACAUACUAAUAUCUUUUUCUUUCUUUCACCCACAGGUAUCUUGGAAGUGGAAGUACAAGCUCUCUUUGCUCAUUUCAUUUAGCAGAAAAACAGUCAUUAAACACAAUUUUUAUGUUUCUGUUCAAUUACUUUCAUUUACUCUAAAUAACAAUGUGUCACAUCAAUUCUGGGGGGAAAAUACUGCUGUUAUGAAAUAAUGUAACUGUACAUAAUGUGUGUCAAAUAAAUAUCUAGUGAUUCAGUCACAGAUCAAAA